AGUCGCUGGCGGGCCGUCUCUCCUGAUAGGGGGGAUGUUGCUAAUUCCUGCGACUGUGUUAGUGUCCGGGAAAACCCCGCCUUCGGGCGGGGUUUUUGCUUUUUU
rfam:Pseudomonas aeruginosa PAO1, complete genome.